UUCAGAAGGACGGCAUCCGACCGUUUACAAAUGUAUCUGACGACAAAAAUGUAAAAACACCAACCUUCCCUCCCCGCCGUGACGUGGAACAGCCCUAACCUGCCCGGCAUGCACCGCGCGGGGUCAGGGGUCAGCCAAAAUGGCGGAAGUUCAGAAAUCGCCGAACGACAAGAAAGAAUACAGAGUCAUCACCUUAGCCAAUGGGCUGCAAGCACUGCUGAUCUCAGACCAGCUUCCCAUUGGUCAGACGUCUGAUGAUGUCACGUCACAACCGGCCAAUCAGGAUGAAGAAGAGGAGAUGUCCACAGAUGG